CGAGCGAGGCCGGCUGCGCAUGUCAAGUUCGUCUGUUCGGCGACCCGUCUCUUUUGAAUGUAGCCCGUUUGAUGGGCUCCCGCCAUUUCUUGCAUUCUUUCUGCAUUUCGACACAGCACCUGUGCACUAUUCUGGAACGGCAAGAUCGCAACACGCACCUAAUGUUCACGGCGCAAUGCUGAAGAAACAACUUGUCAAGUGCUGCUUCUGCGAGUGCGCUGAGUUCCUCCACUCUGCGUGACUGCGAGCGUCACGAAUACUGCAUAGUGUGUACAAAAGGAAGACAGCCUGUAUAGCUACAAGGAGGUGGUGCCGACGAUGGAUCUCGCUACCAACACAGUGAAGGAGACAUCGACAAGCUGCAGAUAAGUAUAUUUCUACUGUUUCAUAUUUAGCGUAAUAAGAGUGCACGGAUUAAGUCACUUUCGUAGUAACGAACUGAAUGUCCAGCAGUUUAAAGAAGGCAGUGAGAACCAAUGAGUGUUCGUGCUUUUACAUGCAAGUGGGCCUGCGAAAAUAUGGAAAAGAUGAAGGUAACCUUCACUAACUUGGUGAGAUAACAGAAAUUCAUGACUGACAUUAAGCCCGCAAAAUUUAUGAAAGAGUAUCUUUAUCCAGCUGAAAUAUCAAUAGCAGGUACUGAUAUAAAGCAGGAAACUUGUACAAAAGUUCCACGGGUUGAACAGCACAUGGAAGGCAUUACCGAAUCGUGAUCGCCACGUUACCGAUAUCCUUGAAAAAAAGUUUAGAACCAUUGCAUUCUACCGGUUAUGCAAUAUGGGGCAUAAACCUGGAGGUUAACAUAGAAACUAGAGAUGUCAAGGACUGUGCAGAAAGCGAAGUAACAAAUAUUUUUGGAGAUAGCAUUAAGAGGAAGCUUUAGCUUGGGAGCUCCUAUCUAAAUACAUGUAAAAGGAGAAUUCGUUUUUCUCGGCAACUACUGCACCAAAUUUGACGAGGUUUGUUGCAGUUAAAAGAAAAACUCAAAAUGUAGUGACUGUUGGUUUCGAAAUUUCGAGUUAGGUUGUGAAUAUUUUAUGAAAACUUGGCAAAAAUCGCAAAUUUUCAGAAAACGAAACUAUCAAGUUUACAACUCCGUAACUCUUCACGAAAAAACGAUAUCGUAAUUCUGUGAAUUGUACCUGAUAGCACGUCUAAAACAGACCAAAUUGGUGUGUUACACAUGAAUAUCUAAAAAUGGAGUAAUGUGUAAUUACAACUUUUGCAGAACCCUUGUAAACAAUGUAACAAAUUCACGUAAGAUGUAAACUGACAUAUCAAAUUUGUCCGCUUUCAAUGAUCUAAUGGAUGCCGUUUACAGAAUCGCGAUAUCUGUUCUUGAUGCAGAGCUAUUAGUUUGUAAACUUUGUGCGUCUAUUUUUUUCAUACGUCUCAAUUUUUGAAAAUCCUCUUAACAAAAUUCAAGCCCUAAAUCAAAAUUCCGCUUCCAACAGUCACUAGAAUUUAACUUUCUCUCUCAAAUGCAACAAAUUUCACUAAAAUCGGUUCAGGGUUUAUCUCAGAAAAACGUUUUUGCGUUUUUACAUGUAUUUGAAUAGGCCGCGUCGGAGUUGGGCCCGAGCUAAAGCUUCCUCUAAAGGCAGGAAGACAGUGUAUAGUAAACCAUGGCAACUGAUAUGCUAGUUGAGAUUAAGAGAAAAAAAAAAGGAAUCGGCAGGCAGGCCAUGCACAUAUUCGAUCACUUGUUGCCAAUUCAUAACAGGUGAUUUCAUAAGCGUGACAGAAUGGAUGUCAAGGAGAGAGAACUACAGCCGAGGAUGGUAGAAAAUUGCGUGAUGGGACAAAAAUAUGUUUGUUGGCACAGGAUGCAAUCAGCUCGUAUAAGAAGGGAUUUAGGGUGAGGCAUUUGUUUUGCAGCGAACAAAAAUAGGUUUGUGGUGCUGACAGUAGAGACUCGUGAAGGAGCGGGGCCACCUCAGCUGCUGGCACACUAAUCAACAUGACAAUUGGCUCUGAAAAAGAAAACUCCAGUUAUGAAAAAUAAAGCAACGUUGUCCUGACACAUUGUCUUAUUAAGCAUACUACACUAAAGACUUCCACAGUUAAGGGCACUUAGUACUAAGAGUGCUACGAGCAUUGUUCUUUGUAAAUAAUGGUUUGUAUGCGGCUGAUUCAUUCCAAUAAUCCACUUUUUUUUUGCAGCAAAACAUUCUGCUGCUGGAGGCACUCAACUGCCUGGUGGCCGUAGGCGAGCGCCAGGCACGUGCUCUUGAGAGUGUGGCAGAAGUCCAGAGGGCUGCUCUGCAACAGUAGUAUCGGUGCCCUCACUGCUCUCCUGUCGAGCACACAGAAGGCACCUUAUAAAGGAGCUUUCAGUUUAAUAUGUUGUUUAUUAUUCAAGAACAUGAAUAAAACUAUUGUAGUAAACAUUGUGCUGUGCAUAUUAGGGGACUUGUAACAUGCACUUGGUGUCCCUUCAACAUAGGCAAAAACGUAAGACAACCUGUGCCACUCUUGGACCAUGUAAAUAAAUAAUACACUAAUGCAGCAUA